rnacentral:rRNA from 1 species
UACGGGGGGGGCAAGCGUUGUUCGGAAUUACUGGGCGUAAAGGGCUUGUAGGCGGCCAACUAAGUCAAACGUGAAAUCCCUCGGCUUAACCGGGGAACUGCGCUUGAUACUGGAUGGCUUGAGUUUGGGAGAGGGAUGCGGAAUUCCAGGUGUAGCGGUGAAAUGCGUAGAUAUCUGGAGGAACACCGGUGGCGAAGGCGGCUUGCUGGGCCAGUUCUGACGCUGAGGAGCGAAAGCGUGGGGAGCAAACGGG